rnacentral:piRNA from 1 species
UAACAUAAGAGCCCAAAGAGACGGGUUGG